rnacentral:rRNA from 1 species
CCUACGGGAGGCAGCAGUAGGGAAUCUUCCACAAUGGGCGAAAGCCUGAUGGAGCAACGCCGCGUGGGUGAAGAAGGUCUUCGGAUCGUAAAACUCUGUUGUUAGAGAAGAAAGUGCGUGAGAGUAACUGUUCACGUUUCGACGGUAUCUAACCAGAAAGCCACGGCUAACUACGUGCCAGCAGCCGCGGUAAUACGUAGGUGGCAAGCGUUAUCCGGAUUUAUUGGGCGUAAAGGGAACGCAGGCGGUCUUUUAAGUCUGAUGUGAAAGCCUUCGGCUUAACCGGGGUAGUGCAUUGGAGACUGGGAGACUUGAGUACAGAAGAGGAGAGUGGAACGCAAUGUGUAGCGGUGAAAUGCGUAGAUAUAUGGAAGAACACCAGUGGCGAAAGCGGCUCUCUGGUCUGUAACUGACGCUGAGGUUCGAAAGCGUGGGUAGCAAACAGGAUUAGAUACCCUAGUAGUC